rnacentral:tRNA from 1 species
GGGCUGGGGAUCAGUGGUAGAGCACUCGCCUCGGAUGUGCGAGACCCUGGGUUCGAUCCUCAGCACCACA